rnacentral:rRNA from 1 species
GACGAACGCUGGCGGCGUGCUUAACACAUGCAAGUCGAACGGAAAGGCCCUGGUUUUGUGGGGUGCUCGAGUGGCGAACGGGUGAGUAACACGUGAGUAACCUGCCCUUGACUUUGGGAUAACUUCAGGAAACUGGGGCUAAUACCGGAUAGGAGCUCCUGCUGCAUGGUGGGGGUUGGAAAGUUUCGGCGGUUGGGGAUGGACUCGCGGCUUAUCAGCUUGUUGGUGGGGUAGUGGCUUACCAAGGCUUUGACGGGUAGCCGGCCUGAGAGGGUGACCGGCCACAUUGGGACUGAGAUACGGCCCAGACUCCUACGGGAGGCAGCAGUGGGGAAUAUUGCACAAUGGGCGGAAGCCUGAUGCAGCAACGCCGCGUGCGGGAUGACGGCCUUCGGGUUGUAAACCGCUUUCGCCUGUGACGAAGCGUGAGUGACGGUAAUGGGUAAAGAAGCACCGGCUAACUACGUA